rnacentral:tRNA from 1 species
GCCCAGAUAGCUCAGUUGGUAGAGCAGAGGACUGAAAAUCCUCGUGUCGCUGGUUCGAUUCCGGCUCUAGGCA